GCGUGAUAAAAUGCCCUUUAAUUGUGGGCCUGACGAACGGAUUUUCGAGGGUCUAGCUGUCUCCUUUUAAGAAAUAGAAAAUAACAUUUAGGUGAAUAUACCUAAAUAUAUAUACAAGACAAAAAGACCCCGUAGAGCUUUGUUUAACCCGACAAACAUUAAUUUAUUAAUAAAACCCUAAUUUAUAUCAUAAAAUACGUAUGCGUAAAAACUUAACUGGGGCGGUUGAGGAAAAGCUAAACGUCUGUUUUCAUAAAACAAAAGGAAACAAACCAUAAAUAACUGAGCCUAUUUUUCAUAUAAAGUUCAAACAAAGAAACUUUCUUAAUUUAACUGUAUGCAAAAUCAACAUAAUUGUAAAUAAUUUUACAACGAUCAAAGGAUUAGCUACCUCGGGGAUAACAGACUAAUCUUUCUUAAGAGUUCGCAUUGACAGAAAGGU
rnacentral:rRNA from 1 species